UUAUCUGGGGGAUAGCCUUUCGAAAGGAAGAUUAAUACCCCAUAAUAUAUUUUACGGCAUCGUGGAAUAUUGAAAACUCCGGUGGAUAGAGAUGGGCACGCGCAAGAUUAGAUAGUUGGUGAGGUAACGGCUCACCAAGUCAGUGAUCUUUAGGGGGCCUGAGAGGGUGAUCCCCCACACUGGUACUGAGACACGGACCAGACUCCUACGGGAGGCAGCAGUGAGGAAUAUUGGACAAUGGGUGCAAGCCUGAUCCAGCCAUCCCGCGUGAAGGACUAAGGCCCUAUGGGUUGUAAACUUCUUUUAUACUGGGAUAAACCUACUUACGUGUAAGUAGCUGAAGGUACAGUAUGAAUAAGCACCGGCUAACUCCGUGCCAGCAGCCGCGGUAAUACGGAGGGUGCAAGCGUUAUCCGGAUUUAUUGGGUUUAAAGGGUCCGUAGGCGGAUUCGUAAGUCAGUGGUGAAAUCUCAUAGCUUAACUAUGAAACUGCCAUUGAUACUGCGAGUCUUGAGUGAGAUUGAGGUAGCUGGAAUAAGUAGUGUAGCGGUGAAAUGCAUAGAUAUUACUUAGAACACCAAUUGCGAAGGCAGGUUACCAAGUCUUAACUGACGCUGAGGGACGAAAGCGUGGGGAGCGAAAC
rnacentral:rRNA from 1 species